CUUUAUAGGAAAAUUGCAAGGGCUGCAAAAAAUCAUGCAUUGCAUAUGGAGAGCCCUAUUCCACUAAGAAACUGGUUUUUUUUUUGUCAGAACAUAUGAGGUGUAGACAAUGUUGGUCAGUAUAACAAAGCACGUUUUAUAAUUAAAUUCACAAGACAACCCAGGCAUUCGUUGUGACAUAUAUCUCUUGUCCAGGAAUUAAUGCAACUCUUUUGUAUUUUAUUCUUCAUCCAUAAUAGAGAUUACAAGUACAAAGAUAUCACGUUUGUUGGGAGCAGUCUUGCCUGCAGACCCUCCUUUGCCCCGGCCACCACCUGAGCCUUUGGCUCCUCCAUCAUCUAUAACACGCCCAAUCCCUUUUGCUUGCCUUCCACCAGUGCCUUACUCCCUACCUCUUCUCCUUCCACAGCCCACCCCAGGGGGGCUUCCAAUCUGAAAAGUAAAAAGACUCAUUGAUUUAUAAUAUCAGUCAUCCAAACUCCAAAGACAUACACAUAUACCUAAUGAAUCUGUAUAAAAACGUAUUAGUCUCUCAGAUUUUUUUUUAUAUUAAUUUUAGCUUAAUACAACUAAAACCUGUGAUUUCUUCUCACUUCUCGCUAAACCAAAAUUUCAAGUGUGGGGCAUAGCAUUAGAUAGCAUGCACAGCAUGAACAGUACUCAGGGCUUUCAGCCAAAGUACAAAAUCAUGCAGGGCAAUGUCAAUAAUUGGGUGGAGGUCAAAAGACCAAAGGAGUCAUCACCUUCUUCACCCAAUCUUCCCCAGGGACAGGGACUUGGGUUUGUUGGAAGCAAAUCUAUCGUUAAAUUGCAUCAACAAGAAACAUCCACCUCAGCUGUAAUGAACAAAAUAUAACCAGAAACCAUACCAGAGUGGCUCUUGGUCUCCUCCUGAACUUUAUCAAUCACCUUUGAGGUGCAAAUAACUACCGGAAGAUGAAUGUUCAUCCAAGUAUCACAAUUCACCAAAUGCCCAUUAAAGUUUCUCCAUUCUUGAGCUCCACCAA
rnacentral:misc_RNA from 1 species